rnacentral:ncRNA from 3 species
CUUGACCUCGGAUCAGGUAGGGAUACCCGCUG